rnacentral:rRNA from 1 species
AUUGAACGCUGGCGGCGUGCCUAACACAUGCAAGUCGAGCGGUAACAGGUGUAGCAAUACAUGCUGACGAGCGGCGAACGGGUGAGUAAUGCUUCGGAAUCUACCCAAUGGUGGGGAAUAACCAGCCGAAAGGUUGGCUAAUACCGCAUACGUCCCACGGGAGAAAGCAGGGGAUCGCAAGACCUUGCGCCAAUGGAUGAGCCGAAGUCGGAUUAGCUAGUUGGAGGGUAACGGCCUACCAAGGCGACGAUCCGUAGCUGGUCUGAGAGGACGACCAGCCACACUGGGACUGAGACACGGCCCAGACUCCUACGGGAGGCAGCAGUGGGGAAUAUUGGACAAUGGGGGAAACCCUGAUCCAGCGACGCCGCGUGUGUGAAG